rnacentral:rRNA from 1 species
AACGAACGCUGGCGGCAUGCCUAACACAUGCAAGUCGAACGAGACCUUCGGGUCUAGUGGCGCACGGGUGCGUAACGCGUGGGAACCUGCCUUUAGGUUCGGAAUAGCUCAGAGAAAUUUGAGCUAAUACCGGAUAAUGUCUUCGGACCAGAGAUUUAUCGCCUUUAGAUGGGCCCGCGUUGGAUUAGCUAGUUGGUGGGGUAAAGGCCUACCAAGGCGACGAUCCAUAGCUGGUCUGAGAGGAUGAUCAGCCACACUGGGACUGAGACACGGCCCAGACUCCUACGGGAGGCAGCAGUGGGGAAUAUUGGACAAUGGGCGAAAGCCUGAUCCAGCAAUGCCGCGUGAGUGAUGAAGGCCUUAGGGUUGUAAAGCUCUUUUACCCGAGAUGAUAAUGACAGUACCUGGAGAAUAAGCUCCGGCUAACUCCGUGCCAGCCGCCGCUGUAAUAC